rnacentral:tRNA from 1 species
AGUAAAGUGACUGAAUAAAGGUGAUAAAUUGUAAAUUUAUUUAUGGAGACAAUCCCUUUACUA